AUUGAACGCUGGCGGCAGGCCUAACACAUGCAAGUCGAACGAGUGGCGGACGGGUGAGUAAUGUUUGGGAAACUGCCUGAUGGAGGGGGAUAACUACUGGAAAGGGUAGCUAAUACCGCAUACCAUCAGAUGUGCCCAGAUGGGAUUAGCUAGUUGGUGGGGUAACGGCUCCGCAAGGCGACGAUCCCUAGCUGGUCUGAGAGGAUGACCAGCCACACUGGUAAUGAGACACGGUCGCGCCUCCUACGGGAGGCAGCAGUGGGGAAUUUUGCACAAUGGGCUCAAGCCUGAUGCAGCCAUGCCGCGUGUAUUACGAAGGCCUUCGGGUUGUAAAGUACUUUCAUCGGGGAGGCGUUACCCGCAGAAGAAGCACCGGCUAACUCCGUGCCAGCAGCCGCGGUAAUUC
rnacentral:rRNA from 1 species